CUGCUGACAGCCUCUACAUUGAAAGCUUUCGUUCCUAUCACUUCUUUUACAGUGCAAAUCUCAGUUAAUUUCUAUUCUCAUUCUCCUUUGUCUUCUCUUUCAAUCUCACUCCACUCUUUUCCUUGGGUUACUAAGGACAAACAUAUCCCUUUAUUUUUGUACUUGUAGCAGUUUUUGUACUGCUCUUAAUAACCCUUAGUAUAGGCUAAGUUCUCACUUUACCUGUACACAUGAUUGCUGCUGUGAUUUGUUUGUAUGUAUUGCUCCAAAAUUCAUAUGAUGGAACCUAACCCCCUAGGAGGUGGUAUUAGGAGGUGGGGUGCUUCGCAGGUCAUUAGGCUAUGAGAAUUCUGCCUUCAUGGAUAAGAUAAAUGCCCUUUUAAAAAAUGCAUCAUAGAGCUGCCUCCCUGCUCCCAUGCCUUUUGCCAUAUGAGGACACCUAGACUGCAUUAUCUCUGAAAAAUGAGCCUUUUUCUUUUCUAUUCUCCUUCUACCAUGUGAGGACACGGCUUUACCUCCUUCUCCAGAGGAUGCAACAAUAAGGCACCAUCUUGGAAGCAGAAAGCAGCCCUCACCAGACACCAAAUCUGCCAGCACCUUGAUCUUGGAUUUCCCAGACUCCAGAACUAUGUGGUCUUUCAUUUCCUCGGCAGAAUACUCCUGGCAUGAUCUUUAAGGAAUGAAAUGUUGUCUACCAACCUCGGCUGAGUGUACACAGUUCUGGGAAAAGGUGCAUCUUAGACUAAUCUGAUUUAGUAAGUGAAUAUAAAAUGCUCCCCAGGACACCUUGCUAGUAAAGACUCC
rnacentral:lncRNA from 1 species